UACGUAGGGGGCAAGCGUUGUCCGGAAUUAUUGGGCGUAAAGCGCGCGCAGGCGGUUAUUUAAGUCUGGUGUUUAAUCCUGGGGCUCAACCCCAGUUCGCAUCGGAAACUGGAUGACUUGAGUGUAAGAGAGGAAAGUGGAAUUCCACGUGUAGCGGUGAAAUGCGUAGAGAUGUGGAGGAACACCAGUGGCGAAGGCAGUGUCCUGGGGAGUACCUGACGCUCAGGUGCGAAAGCCAGGGGAGCGAACGGG
rnacentral:rRNA from 1 species